CGGAACGGGUGAGUAACGCGUGAGGAACCUGCCUCAAAGAGGGGGACAACAGUUGGAAACGACUGCUAAUACCGCAUAAGCCCACGGCUCGGCAUCGAGCAGAGGGAAAAGGAGCAAUCCGCUUUGAGAUGGCCUCGCGUCCGAUUAGCUAGUUGGUGAGGUAACGGCCCACCAAGGCGACGAUCGGUAGCCGGACUGAGAGGUUGAACGGCCACAUUGGGACUGAGACACGGCCCAGACUCCUACGGGAGGCAGCAUG
rnacentral:rRNA from 1 species